UACGUAGGGUGCGAGCGUUGUCCGGAAUUAUUGGGCGUAAAGAGCUCGUAGGCGGUGUGUCACGUCGGCCGUGAAAACCUGGGGCUUAACUCUGGGCGUGCGGUCGAUACGGGCAUCACUAGAGUUCGGCAGGGGAGACUGGAAUUCCUGGUGUAGCGGUGAAAUGCGCAGAUAUCAGGAGGAACAUCGGUGGCGAAGGCGGCUUGCUGGGCCUUACCUGACGCUGAGGAGCGAAAGCGUGGGGAGCGAACAGG
rnacentral:rRNA from 1 species